UUCAUAUAUUUUUGUUAGUGUUUUAUUUGUUUUCAAAUGUUUUAUAGUUCAAAUAAAACAGUAUUUAUAAUGAACGCACAAAUUAUUACCUUUAUAUUAUUAAUAAUAAAAAAAUGCAUUUGAGCCGUGGCAGUUAUUAUUUUUCUAAUAAAAAUUAUUGUAUUUAUAUAAUUUAUAAUGAUUUAGUUUGUAAAAAAUAGGCUCAAGCAACUCAAAAUAAAUAGUUAUUCAGCUUUGUCUAUGAAAUAAUAAUAUUAAUUGGAUGACUGAACAUUAUGGCUUCGCCUGGGGACUAUAUUACAUGAGCAGAUAGCUUUUGAGUCGUUUGACUAUAUUUUGAUUAACCGACCUGCGUGUGCACUCAACUGGGCAGCCAUCGUAGUGGAUUUCACGAAAGGGGCGUUGAUGUAAUCGUUGCCGGACGAAUCUUCAAAAUGACCGGCGUUUUCGUCUAGAGCACUGCACACCCACGGGAGUACCUAUCUAUAACGAUAAUAGUCGUCAUCCGUUGUCGAUAUAGCCGUGAUUGUCGAGGACCAAGAGCACGGCGGCCAGUAAUCACACUUGGCAGGUGGCUGCAACAACUCGUCCCCGGCCUAUUGUCAUUAUAUAAUAUAAGUUCCAGGCAUUCCAGCGUUGCCAGAUCGGUAGAAUUCCUGAUAAAUGUGAUGGAUUUGAACCCUACUAUACGAUUGACGAUGUAAUGUUAGGUGUAGGUAUAUUCAAGAACUUAAUUAUUCUUGUAAUGCUUUUUUGUACGGUUUUAAGAAAGAUUUAUUACUAUUAUUAUUAUUUUUUGUGAAACCAAUUUCGAGAAACAUGAAUUUAACGCUAUCGUUGUUAGUCAUAUUUUAUAUUUUUAUUUAUUCUAUGGCAACAUUGUAAUAAUGAAGACUACAGUAUACAAGUUUAUGCGGUUGACGAAGUAUGGGAGUAGUACGGGGGGAUACCAUCCCACUACUAUUUUAGUUUACAUUUUCAUCCCUCCACUUUCUAUCCAAAAUAAUGUUAUACAUAAAAUCAUUAUUUACGUAUCUAGUUUUAGAAUUUAUUUUUUUAGUAUUAUUUAUGAUAAAAAUAUAUAUAUUUUUUUAAGAGGAAAAA